AUUGAACGCUGGCGGCAGGCCUAACACAUGCAAGUCGAGCGGAUGAAGGGAGCUUGCUCCUGGAUUCAGCGGCGGACGGGUGGGUAGUGCCUAGAAAUCUGCCUGGUUGUGGGGGAGAACGUCCGGAAACAGGGGCUAAUACCGCAUUAGUCCUGAGGGCGUAAGUGUGGGAUCAUCGGAUCUCACGCUCUCGGGUGAGCCUAGGUCGGAUUAGCUAGUUGGUGGGGUAAAGGCCUACCAAGGCGACGAUCCGUAACUGGUCUGAGAGGAUGAUCAGUCACACUGGAACUGAGACACGGUCCAGACUCCUACGGGAGGCAGCAGUGGGGAAUAUUGGACAAUGGGCGAAAGCCUGAUCCAGCCAUGCCGCGUGUGUGAAGAAGGUCUUCGGGUUGUAAAGCACUUUAAUUUGGGAGGAAGGGCAGUAAGUUAAUACCUUGCUGUUUUGACGGUACCAACAGAAUAAGCACCGGCUAACUUCGUG
rnacentral:rRNA from 1 species